GUAUGACGGUAUUACCUAAAUAUUUUUUUUUAGUUAAAAAUAUUAAAUUUUUAAUUAAAGUUAGAAUACUUUAAUAAACCAAAGGGACGAUAAGACCCUAAAAUUUUUAUCUUGUUUUAUUUGGCGUAGUACGGGUCACUGGCGUGAUAUUUUGAGAUUUGGCUGGGGUAGUCGUUUCACGAAAACUAAGGUUUUUGUUAACAUUGUAGAUGGUUUAAAGGUCCUUUUUAUAAGGAUAAGUAGGAUCAAUUACUUUAGGGGUAACAGCGCAAUUUUUUCGGAGAGACCUUAUCUAUGGGAGAGACUACGACCUCGAUGUUGAAUUAUAAAUUUGCUGCGGGGCAGAAAAUGCAGUGUAGGGUUUGUUCAACCUUUAAAAUUUUACAUGAUUU
rnacentral:rRNA from 1 species